UACGUAGGGGGCAAGCGUUGUCCGGAUUUAUUGGGCGUAAAGAGCGUGUAGGCGGCCACACAGGUCUGCUGUGAAAACUCGAGGCUCAACCUCGAGCUGUCGGUGGAAACCGUGUGGCUAGAGUCCGGAAGAGGAGAAUGGAAUUCCCGGUGUAGCGGUGAAAUGCGCAGAGAUCAGGAGGAACACCCAUGGCGAAGGCAGCUCUCUGGUCGACCUCUGACGCUGAGACGCGAAAGCGUGGGGAGCGAACGGG
rnacentral:rRNA from 1 species